rnacentral:misc_RNA from 1 species
CUGAAAAGUAGCCCCAUUGAUGUAAUAAACUUGAUGGAAGAUGAGUAAAUGUCCAGGCAAUUGUAAAAAUGCAAUAACUAGCAUUAGACAAUAAGGCAAUAGACUAGAUGAUGAACGCAAAUCUUGUCCCUUGCGGAGGACAUCUAGAAAGAAUCCUUAAGUAAAUUAGGCAACUACAUGCUGUAAUCCUAUGCAUUAGUUUUACAAUGAACAUGAGGAACCCAAAAAUGAGUGAUAGUACAAGAAAAGAUAGCGUGAAAAACUUUUCAUAUUGACAACAUACUAACAUAGUUAAUGUUGUAUUAAUGAUAAUGAGGAAAUUUUGUUUGAAACAGUUUUUUUAGCCUAGUGACCAAACAUUUAUACAUUUUCUUAAUUGUAGGCUUAGCUACUUUUUUU